UGAGGAAUAUUGGUCAAUGGGCGCAAGCCUGAACCAGCCAUCCCGCGUGCAGGAAGACGGCCCUAUGGGUUGUAAACUGCUUUUCCAGGGGGAGAAUUUUUCUGUCGUGACAGGAAUUGACGGUACCCUGGGAAUAAGCAUCGGCUAACUCCGUGCCAGCAGCCGCGGUAAUACGGAGGAUGCGAGCGUUAUCCGGAUUUAUUGGGUUUAAAGGGUGCGUAGGCGGAUUGAUAAGUCAGUGGUGAAAACCUGCAGCUUAACUGUAGGCUUGCCGUUGAUACUGUCAGUCUUGAGUGUGGUCAAGGUAGGCGGAAUGUGUAAUGUAGCGGUGAAAUGCUUAGAUAUUACACAGAACACCGAUUGCGAAGGCAGCUUACUGGGCCAUUACUGACGCUGAUGCACGAAA
rnacentral:rRNA from 1 species